rnacentral:rRNA from 1 species
GACGAACGCUGGCGGCGUGCCUAAUACAUGCAAGUAGAACGCACAGUUUAUACCGUAGCUUGCUACACCAUAGACUGUGAGUUGCGAACGGGUGAGUAACGCGUAGGUAACCUGCCUGGUAGCGGGGGAUAACUAUUGGAAACGAUAGCUAAUACCUCAUAAUAUUAAUUAUUGCAUGAUAAUUAAUUGAAAGGUGCAAUUGCACCACUACCAGAUGGACCUGCGUUGUAUUAGCUAGUAGGUGAGGUAACGGCUCACCUAGGCGACGAUACAUAGCCGACCUGAGAGGGUGAUCGGCCACACUGGGAAUGAGAAACGGCCCAGACUCCUACGGGAGGCAGCAGUAGGGAAUCUUCGGCAAUGGACGAAAGUCUGACCGAGCAACGCCGCGUGAGUGAAGAAGGUUUUCGGAUCGUAAAGCUCUGUUGUAAGAGAAGAACGGGUGUGAGAGUGGAAAGUUCACACUGUGACGGUAUCUUACCAGAAAGGGACGGCUAACUACGUG